AUAUGGGUAAUUCGAGUUUUUGUGGAGUUGUCAUUCUAUUUUAUUGAAGAUUUUGGUUAAUAUUUUUGUGGAGAGACAUGAAUAUUUGUAUUGAACAAAUAAGUUAGUGUUAUGGAGUGUCUGGUUUAUUUUUAUUGUGUUAGUAGAGUUGAUAUGGAGAAAAUGGAGCUAACCCUCCGGACUUCCUGGAUUGGGACGUUACAUUACAGACAUGUAAAAAGCUUGCGGGGAAAACUCAGGUUCUCCCACUUUUCAACCAGUUCUCUUUGAGAGAGAAUGUUCUCAGGUGGCCGAAGAUAAAGGGUUUUGUUCAGGGUUCGAGGAUCAUCUAUUGUCUUAAUUGUGUAGGUUGCGAUGUCAUCUUCAUCCAUAUAAACCACUACAUGUAGCAAACAUUCAAACCAGCUUUAAUUUAUCGAUGUAAAUAUUGGAAACUGAAAGAAAUUAUUUCUAUUAAUUGAGAGAUAUUGCAAUAUAUAA